GAAAGGGUCUCUGAAUAUUUGGAAUUGCAACUAAUAUUGCUCCUCAGGGUUCCUCCUUCCUCCAAUACUGUUCCUCAGUGUUCAUGAUACCUUGGGGCUAAAAAUGAUACUGCCCAUCAGGCCUUCCACCCAUCCUGAUAAAAUGAGUUCCUCUCUGACCUUGGAAUAUGACCAAAAAGUAGACUAGAUAAUGAAGUUGACAAACAAUAUUUGGUCCUUCAUCUAGUACUAGCACAGGGAUAACAUGUAGUCUCUUUCUAACCCGUUACCAGAUCCGCCUACUUUCUCUGGCUUGAGAAUUCCUAAAGCUACUACUACUGCUUCUGUGUCUACAACCUGGUCCCACCUCUGUUUCACACAUAUCCAUGUGUAUACUAGACCAGCCUCCUCCUCCAUGUCACAGAUAUCUCUUUCCAAGCCUCUAUAUUGUCCUGGAAUGAUCAGCAAAACCAAGGAACAGACUCAAAAUAGGUUGAGGAACAGCCAAUGA
ensembl:lncRNA